rnacentral:rRNA from 1 species
AGUGAACGCUGGCGGUAGGCCUAACACAUGCAAGUCGAACGGCAGCACAGUAAGAGCUUGCUCUUACGGGUGGCGAGUGGCGGACGGGUGAGGAAUACAUCGGAAUCUACUUUUUCGUGGGGGAUAACGUAGGGAAACUUACGCUAAUACCGCAUACGACCUACGGGUGAAAGCAGGGGAUCUUCGGACCUUGCGCGAUUGAAUGAGCCGAUGUCGGAUUAGCUAGUUGGCGGGGGAAAGGCCCACCAAGGCGACGAUCCGUAGCUGGUCUGAGAGGAUGAUCAGCCACACUGGAACUGAGACACGGUCCAGACUCCUAAGGGAGGCAGCAGUGGGGAAUAUUGGACAAUGGGCGCAAGCCUGAUCCAGCCAUACCGCGUGGGUGAAGAAGGCCUUCGGGUUGUAAAGCCCUUUUGUUGGGAAAGAAAAGCAGCAGGUUAAUACCCCGCUGUUCUGACGGUACCCAAAGAAUAAGCACCGGCUAACUUCGUG